rnacentral:lncRNA from 1 species
AUCUUUUGUAACCUUAUCAAAGAAGAACAAUAAGUUUUAGUAGCUCAGGAGACAUCAUGCUCCAUCCCACUCACACGAGUGGGUGUGUAACAUACAACCAUACAUCCUGCAGGAUUUGACCUCUAGAACAAACAAUAUCUAUGUCACCCUCCUAACCUAGCAUCCUGAUCAGAUAUGUGAUGGCCACACACUUCUUAGGACA